rnacentral:lncRNA from 1 species
UGUUAGUUUUAUUUUUUAUUUUUUCAUUUUUUUGUAGCUUUUAUAUGGUUUUUUUUUUCUCGAGACAUUCAAUCAUGCUUCUAGUUCAUAUUAAGUUAUCUUCAAGCUAUACCAUGCUUCUAGGAUUAUUACUCAAGCUCAAUUACAACUAUUGCCACAACCAAAUGAUUUAGCUACACAUGAUUAUAAGUUCACAAUUAGUGAAGUUGAAGCAAGAAUUUAACAAAACAAAAACCAACUUAUAAUUAUAUAUUAGAGUAUACAGUAAAGCAUAUUAUACAUAUAAAUUAUAACUGCAUUUGUGUUAGGAUCAAAGUCAUGUAUCACCCAAAAAAUUUCAACACCACGAUGAUAACUCUAAAUUCAACUGUGGCUAUGAAUUGUAAAUCACAAGUUCCGGUUCUACACAUAGAGUUCGGCGUUCUGCUGCAAUGGUGCAUAAAACACAACUUAGCCAACUAGUUGUAGCUAAGAGUUUGUCAAAUGUCACAUUGUCAUCCACAGGCAAUGAGUUCAC